rnacentral:rRNA from 1 species
CACGUAGUUAGCCGGGGCUUCUUAGUCAGGUACCGUCAUUUUCUUCCCUGCUGAUAGAAGUUUACAUACCGAAAUACUUCUUCCUUCACGCGGCGUCGCUGCAUCAGGGUUUCCCCCAUUGUGCAAUAUUCCCCACUGCUGCCUCCCGUAGGAGUUUGGGCCGUGUCUCAGUCCCAAUGUGGCCGGUCACCCUCUCAGGUCGGCUACUGAUCGUCGGCUUGGUAGGCCGUUACCCCACCAACUACCUAAUCAGACGCGGGUCCAUCUCAUACCACCGGAGUUUUUCACACUGUACCAUGCGGUACUGUAUGCUUAUGCGGUAUUAGCAGUCAUUUCUAACUGUUAUCCCCCUGUAUGAGGCAGGUUACCCACGCGUUACUCACCCGUCCGCCACUCAGUCACUUUCUCUUUCCUCCGAAGAUUCAAUCAAAAGUGCUUCGUUCGACUUGCAUGUGUUAAGCACGCCGCCAGCGUUCAUCCUGAGCCAGGAUCAAACUCU